GGAUACUGUAAUAAUGUGAGGGGUGCUUUAUGGAAACAGGUGCUGUCCAGUUAUUGAAAACAUGAUCUAGCCGAAAGGGUCGCCAAGGGAGGAAAGAAGACAUACGUCGAGUGCUGACACCCCAUGAUGGCCAGAAGGGAUGGGUGCAUUCCAGAAUGUUAUUAAGGGGAGAGAUGGGCCUGCUGUUCUCUACUUAACAGGCAUCUAUCUGUACAAGGGCUGGAUGCCUUGGGAGGCCAAUGGAGAUUCAGACACAGCCCUGACCAUAACUUCCCCUGGAAACUGGUUUCAGACGGUGUUUUAGAGUAUCAAUAACAUAUCUAGCACCAUUUGAAAUCAGUGUUCUUGGUGUAAGGAGGACACCAUUUAAAGCAGGAUGGAUGAAUGCAUACAGUAGGCCUACGGCAGUCUCAUCAUUUUGCACACAUUUGGCUAGGUGGUACUGGUGGGAGUUAACAUUAUUUGUUGACGGGAUCGCAUGACAAUAAAAACAUUCUAUUCCGUGUCCAAUUAUGUAAAUGUCACACUGGAAUAUGUUAGUCUUGGAAUCGCAGCGCCAGCACAACACACCUCCCCAGUGACUGACAGCAAUCCCAGGAUCACACCUCACCUCCUCACAUCAUGACCCCUCUUGCCAAGGCUGACUGUUUUCUUUUGGUGUUUAGAGUCUCUUCUAUUUCUAGCACCAUUUGAAAUCGGUUACAGUGUAGGGGGAAUAUCAUCUGAACAGAAGAUGAGAAACACCCUUGGUUCCUCCACACAAGUUCUCUUUGAUCAAGUCACAUCCUUUUUUUUCCAAAUCUCAAGUAACCUGAGCUAGCUUGUUAUAGGUAGUCAGAUGUGAUCAAACACACAUUCUGGGUGCAGAGCCGAAAGAAGUUGGUAUAAAAGAAAUAGAGCUCGCACACUCAUACUGUAGGCUCCACCAUGUACCUUUAUUAAUUAAUUAACCUCCUCCCAGCUGCCCACUGCACUGAAGAUAGGAAACACUGUCACCACUGAUAAAUCCACUAUAAUUGAGAAUUUCAAUAAGCAUUUUUCUACAGCUGGCCAUGCUUUCCACCUGGCUACCCCUACCCCGGUCAACAGCACUGCACCCCCCACAGCAACUCGCCCAAGCCUUCCCCAUUUCUCCUUCUCCCAAAUCCAGUCAGCUGAUGUUCUGAAAGAGCUGCAAAAUCUGGACCCCUACAAAUCAGCCGGGCUAGACAAUCUGGACCCUUUCUUUCUAAAAUUAUCUGCCAAAACUGUUGCCACCCCUAUUACUAGCCUGUUCAACCUCUCGUGUCGUCUGAGAUUCCCAAAGAUUGGAAAGCAGCUGCGGUCAUCCCCCUCUUCAAAAGGGGGGGGGGCACUCUUGACCCAAACUGCUACAGACCUAUAUCUAUCCUACCCUGCCUUUCUAAGGUCCUCGAAAGCCAAGUCAACAAAUAGAUUACCAACCAUUUCGAAUCUCACCAUACCCUCUCUGCUAUGCAAUCUGGUUUCAGAGUUGGUCAUGGGUGCACUUCAGCCAUGCUCAAGGUCCUAAACGAUAUCUUAACUGCCAUCGAUAAGAAACAUUACUGUGCAGCCGUAUUCAUUGAUCUGGCCAAGGCUUUCGACUCUGUCAAUCACUACAUCCUCAUUGGCAGACUCGACCGCCUUGGUUUCUCAAAUGAUUGCCUCGCCUGGUUCACCAACUACUUCUCUGAUAGAGUUUAGUGUGUCAAAUCGGAUGGUCUGCUGUCCGGACCUCUGGCAGUCUCUAUGGGGGUGCCACAGGGUUCAAUUCUUGGACCGACUCUCUUCUCUGUAUACAUCAAUGAUGUCGAUCUUGCUGCUGGUGAGUCUCUGAUCCACCUCUACGCAGACGAGACCAUUCUGUAUACUUCUGGCCCUUCUUUGGACACUGUUAACAACACUCCAGGCAAGCUUCAAUGCCAUUCAACUCUCCUUCCGUGGCCUCCAAUUGCUCUUAAAUAUAAGUAAAACUAAAUGCAUGCUCUUCAACCGAUCGCUGCCUGCAUCUGCCCACCUGUCCAACAUCACUACUCUGGGCGGCUCUGGACGACUUAGAAUACGUGGACAACUACAAAUACCUAGGUGUCUGAUUAGACUGUAAACUCUCCAUCAAGACUCACAUCAAACAUCUCCAAUCCAAAGUUAAAUCUAGAAUUGGCUUCCUAUUUCGCAACAAAGCAUCCUUCACUCAUGCUGCCAAACAUACCCUUGUAAAACUGAUCAUUCUACCAAUUUUCGACUUUGGCGAUGUCAUUUACAAAAUAGCCUCCGAUACCCUACUCAACAAAUUGGAUGCAGUCUACCACAGUGCCAUCCGUUUUGUCACCAAAGCCCCAUAUACUACCCACCAUUGCGACCUGUACGCUCUCGUUGGCUGACCCUCGCUUCAUACUCGUCUCCGAACCCACUGGCUCCAUGUCAUCUACAAGACCCUGCUAGGUAAUAAUUUAGCCCAAACAUCUACCUCUUUCCAUACUGUAUUAAUUUAUUUUGCUCCUUUGCACCCCAUUAUUUUUAUUUCUACUUUGCACAUUCAUCCACUGCAAAUCUACCAUUCUAGUGUUUUACUUGCUAUAUUGUAUUUACUUUGCCUCCAUGGCCUUUUUUUGCCUUUACCUCCCUUAUCUCACCUCAUUUGCUCACAUCGUAUAUAGACUUGUUUCUACUGUAUUAUUGACUGUAUGUUUGUUUUACUCCAUGUGUAACUCUGUGUUGUUAUAUGUGUCGAACUGCUGUACUUUAUCUUGGCCAAGUCGCAAUUGUAAAUGAGAACUUGUUCUCAACUUGUCCACCUGGUUAAAUAAAGGUGAAAUUUUUAAUUAAUAAACAAACAACGUUUAGAUCCUGCAAGGAUCUUUGUCAGGUAAUUUCA